ACACAGCAUAUGAAAUCUUACAGGAUGCAGCAAAAGCAAUUCUCCGGGAGAAGUAUAGUAAUAAUUGCCUAUAUUAAGAAAAAAGAAAGCUCUCAAAUAAAAAAUUUAACUUCAUACCUCAAGGAACUGGAAAAGGAGGAACAAACUAAACUCAAGUAUAGGAGAUAGAUGGUGUCAUCACUAAAAAGGAGAACAUGGUGAAUAUGAGUGGAGAAGAAUUGGAGAAGAGCUGAUAAAGAAUUGAAAAGGAAUAAAGAAUUGGAGCAAGGGUGUGUGAAGCCAUUUGGAUAUGGACUCAGAUACCACUGACACACAGUGAAAUAGAGUACUCAGCUUGGGUAACAUCUCCACGUGGAUCGGCUAGAUGCAUCUCAACCUCAAGAUAUGAUUAAAGACAACUAUGAUGAAAUCGAACCUCAGAAUCUCAUGUGGAAGGGCAAAUGAAGAAGUGUUAACUGCUGACAGAGGAUGUUCAAGUCACCAGAAGACCUGUGGCAUCUAGUCUCCAAGACGACCUUUGAUGAUCCCUGCCUCAUGGGCUACGUGGUGGAUGCCUGAAGCCUCUUGUCAACAUCUGUGUAAGUGAACUUAGAAGCAGGUCCUUAAGCCCUAAAUAACUACAGCCCUGGUCAACAGCUUGACUACAGCCAAUGAGAGACUUGAGACAGAACUACCCAGCUAAGCUACAUCCAGAAACUUUACCCUCAGAAACUGUCAGAGCUCUUCUUUCAGGAAGUCCACUUGAGCCUACACCCUCCAUCCUGACCUGGUUUACAUGCUCCUACUCUGUGCUUCAUAAAAUCCUGAGAAUAUAAUUCCAUCACUGGACCACUGGAUAGAUCCAGAAUAAUAUUUUUCUCUGUGAAUCUGUGAAGUGACUGCUACUGACUUUGGAAUGUAAUUUUUUCACCCUGAAAUACAGUGGUCUCUCAUGAAGUACAAAGAUUGACAAUUCUGUGGACUUUAUAUGUCCAAGGAUACUUCAAAGGCUAAGUAAAUUCUAUUUCUUAUGCCAUGAUCACUAAAUUGUAAAUGCUAGCAGCUUUAGGUUUUGACAACUUUGGGCCCUUAAUUUUGAAUAAAGAUUCUACCACCAUGGUGAAAUAACAGAUGCUACACAUUAGUAGUGGGCUAAAAAAUCUAUGGUAUGGGAUUUACCAAAACAGAUUUUAUGAGGACUUGGCUGGUUCUGGAGGUAGAAUUUGCUUAAAUAUACUGUGGCAUGUGACAUUGUUUGAAAUUAAAUGUCCAAUAAAUUUUAAUACAAUUGCCUUGUUUUCACAGGCAAAUCUAGGACAAUGUAUUUCGAAAGAAAAUUUUAUAGUUUACCUAAAAAUAUCCAAGCGUAUUAUGUAACCUUUUUGGUCUUCAAGAGGUCAAAGGGUUAUCUUUGCUUAGAUACUUAUAAUCAUUUUAUACUUUCUCUUCUAUUACUGGUUUGAAAAAGACAAAAGAAAAUUAAAAUUGAAAAGGAAUCAAAGCACUUGUUAUAACUGAGCAUCAGAGACACAAGCCUAGGGUACACCUGCAUAACAGUAAAUGUUCUUUUGUAGUUAACACCUGAGUUUUUCUAUUUAUAGAAAGAUAUCACAAGUCUAAACACAGAGGAAAAUGGCUCACAGAUCCAAUAAGAUUUGGAUUGGAUUGCACAACUUCUAGCAAUAUCAGGGGAUUUUCAUCCAAUAUAUUUGCCAACAAAUCAAUAAUAUGAGUAAAUCCUUCUGCAUUGUGGGCAAUCAAAUGCUCACUGGCAGGUACUACUACCUAAAUUAAUAUAAUCCCAGAAGUGAUCUGUCUGUGUCAAACAUAAUACCACCGAGGCUUAAAAUUCACAUGUGAUAAGUUGGAGGAUAUUUCUUUUUUUUUUUUUUUUGAGGAUAUUUCUUAAUAAUGGUUUAAACAAAAGGAAAUUAGGUGAAAAUUCUGAAUAAAAUGUUCCCACGUUUAGUGGGCUCAGUUUUAA